rnacentral:rRNA from 1 species
AUUGAACGCUGGCGGCAGGCCUAACACAUGCAAGUCGAGCGGAGCGGGCGACGGAGGAGUAAGGGAUAGGAAUGUGCCUGGCAGUGGGGGAUAACGUCCGGAUACGGGCGCUAGUUAAGCAUACUAUCAGAUGGGCCUAGGUCGGGUUAGCUAGCUGGUGGGUUAAGGGACAACCAAGGCGAGGAUGCGUACCUGGUCUGAGAGGAUGAUCAGUCACACUGGAACUGAGACACGGUCCAGACUCCUACGGGAGGCAGCAGUGGGGAGUAGUGGACAAUGGGCGAAAGCCUGAUGCAGCCAUGCCGAGUGUGUGAAGAAGGUCUGCGGAUUGUAAAGCACUUUAAGUUGGGAGGCGUUACCAACAGAAUAAGCACCGGCUAACUUCGUGCCAGCAGCCGCGGUAAUUC